AUUGAACGCUGGCGGCAGGCCUAACACAUGCAAGUCGAGCGAGCGGCGGACGGGUGAGUAAUGUAUGGGGACUGCUCGAUAGAGGGGGAUAACUACUGGAAACGGUGGCUAAUACCGCAUACUAUCGGAUAACCCAUAUGGGUUUAGCUAGUAGGUGGGGUAAAGGCGCACCGAGGCGACGAUCUCUAGCUGGUCUGAGAGGAUGAUCAUCCACACUAGGACUGAGAGACGGCCCAGACUACUACGGAGGCAGCAGUGGGGAAGAUAGGACAAUGGAAGCAAGCCUGAUGCAGCAAUGCCGAGUGUAUGAAGAAGGCCUUAAGGUUGUAAAAUACUUUCGGCGGGGAGGCGUUACCCGCAGAAGAAGCACCGGCUAACUCCGUGCCAGCAGCCGCGGUAAUAC
rnacentral:rRNA from 1 species